AGGUAUAUUAGGGGGAGGGGGUUGCUCCGAGAGGACCCUCCACGGUGGGAUGGGAUAAUCAAGGUAUGGAUGUUCUGACCCUAGGCACGGGUCCCCCUCGUGUCACAGCCUCGGUUGAGGUUGUACGUUAUGUCCGAAACGUCAGGGUAGCAGAGGCAACCGGACUUGGGUUACAGUUGGGUAAGAAAAGGUACCAGAUUUGUGGGACGAAUAAUGCAAACGGACUAAACCUGGCCUCGGGUUUGAGCGAGGCUGGGUGGACCGGUAAGGGAAACCUCAAACACUAGUGGGCUGUCCGAUAACGGGAAAGGUCUGUGAGCAGAAUUCGAUCUCAUAUUUCUGGUACCCGUCCAGGUUGUGGUCGGGCUAAGAGAAGGUGGCAGAUUUGGAUGCUAUUGACACGGGCCCCCUCGUGUCAUGGCUUCCCGAUGUUCUGUGCGAAACGUAUACCGGGUUGCAGCGGUAUACGAAAAGUUGCCUUGAGGUCAUGACAAUGGCCUCCCGCCCCUGAAAAAGGGGCUCGGGAAUGACCCGGUGUUAUGACCCGAACGUAAUAGCUCCCGAGGCUGCAAGACCGGGUUAGGGCCCUGAACGGAAGGGUGCUAGAUUUGCCGGGAUGAAUGAUGGAAACGGACUUAUCCCGGCCUCGGGGUUUGAGCGAGGCUUGGGUAGACCGGUAAGGGAAAACUCAAACACGAGUGGGCUGUCCGAUAAUGGGAAAUUGUCCGUGAACAAAAUUCGAUCUCAUAUUUCUGGUACCCAUCCAGGUGUGGUCGGGCUCAGAGAUGGUGGCAGAUUGGGAUAAUGCUAUUGACACGGGCCCCUCGUAUCAUGGCUGUCCUGAUGUUCUGUCCCAAGCGUAUACCGGGUUGCAGCGGUAUACGAAAAGUUGCCUUGAGGUCAUGACAAUGGCCUCCCCCUCCCCCUCUGAAAAUAGGGGCUCAGGAAUGACAUGACGUUACGUCGUGAACGUAGUGGUUCCUGAGGCUGCAAGACCGGGUUAGGGCCGUGAAUGGAAAGGUGCCAGAUUUGUGGGACGAAUGAUGGAAAUGGACUUGUCCUGGCCUCGGGUUUGAGCAAGGCCAGGUAGCUGGGUAAGGAAAAAUCUCAAACAUGAGUGGGCUGUCCGAUAACGGGAAAUGGCCGUGAACAGAAUUUGAUCACAUAUUUCCGGUAACUAACCAGAUGCGGUCGGGUUAUGAUGUUGCCGUGCUAUGCAGACCUUUGGUCAUCAUCCAUAACGUAGACUGAUCGUGUGCUGCAUGAUUGGAUGCUUGGACAG
rnacentral:misc_RNA from 1 species